CGAACCCUUCGGGGUUAGUGGCGCACGGGUGCGUAACGCGUGGGAACCUGCCUUUAGGUUCGGAAUAACAGUUAGAAAUGACUGCUAAUACCGGAUGAUGUCUUCGGACCAAAGAUUUAUCGCCUUUAGAUGGGCCCGCGUUAGAUUAGAUAGUUGGUGGGGUAAUGGCCUACCAAGUCGACGAUCUAUAGCUGGUCUGAGAGGAUGAUCAGCCACACUGGGACUGAGACACGGCCCAG
rnacentral:rRNA from 1 species